UAAACGUUAAAAAAAAUUAAAAAAAAAAGAAAAAGGUGGAGGAGAGAGACAAAGCAAAUGACGGGAAACGUGGAUAGUUGUCGAAGUUACGUGGAUGCUCAUCAGGCUGUCCUCUCCACUUGAGUGUGUGUUUGCCACUUUCCAAAGAGAAGCACCUGACGGGCUUAGUCGGUGGAGCUUAUGACUCUUGAUCUCGGGGUCGUGAGCUAGAGCUCCACACUGGGUGUAGAAAUCACUUAAACACAUCUUUAAGAAAAGAAAAAAGAAAAUUUCCGAAAAUAAAAAGAUUUUGGUUUAAAAGAAAAAGAGAGAGGGGGGGGGGCCUAUGUGGGCACUGUUCUUCAGGCAGCCGGGGGAGGUACCCACCCCCUGGAGCUUGGGCUUGGUGUGGGGGUGGGGUGGGAUCUGGGAGCGGAGGCUCACCUUGCACCCCCACCUGGAAGCAGCCGUUACUGAAGAGAGGAGAGGAGUGGGCAGCCUUGAACCUGCAGGCCGGGGGCCCCACACCAGGCCUGUGACCAGAAUCACCUGGAGCUUUGGGAAAAGGCAGGUGCUGCAGGCCAGGGGAGGCUUCCUUAGGUGUGGGCCCGGCCGGCCCCUGACACCUGUCCCCAAAGCCCUUCCUUUUCAGCCCCAAACCCCUUGGUCUGCAGAGGAAGCAGGCCUCCCGGCCCGGCCCCUCCCCUGGGGAUGAGCCCAGCAACAGCUUCCUGUGCGGGACUCAGCAAGAGUCCCCAGCCCUGACAGGGUGCCUGCAUGUGCCAGAGGCUCUGGGCUCUGGUGGGUGAACAAGACCGUCGAGAGCCCUGGCCCCGUGGACACUAGGGGCUGCGCACUGAGAAGGAAACUAAAAUGCCCCGCCGGCCCCUCCCGACUUCCAGAGCUCUGAGCAAGGGUCCCUUUGCCAGUGUGGAACCGCAGCCUGUCGUGGGUUCACCGGCCAUGUCGCUGAAGGUCUGUCUGUCACUAGCAGGUCCUGUUGAAAAAUCUUUGCUGAGCCCAUGUCAUGAAUACAUUCUUCUGUUACCUUCUGGAAGCUGUAUCGUUUUAGACAUAGACCAAUAAUCCACGAGAUGCCACCACAAAUCACCAAAAUGUCUGAAAUUAAAGACUGCCAACACCAAGGGUUGAAUUUAGGAGACGAAUGUAAGUGAGCAACGUAACACUUCGGAAAUAAACUGUUUACGUAGUCCAGCAAAUAUGAAUUACGCUCUUAUAAAGGGAUCUCAUGGCACACCUCUUUCAAUUAAUUCAAAUCUAAGACUUGAGAAUUCAAAGAUCCAGAGUUCUGACAUUUAGGGAGAGGUAGUUAGAAGGAUAUCAGCACAUGGUGAGAGUUCAGAUGACUUUUAGUUUGUACCUUUUUUUGUCUGGGCUGAUCCGCAGUAGGUCCCUGUGGGUAUGUCUUAAUACAUGGGGGCCAGGGCGGGGCUCUGGGGAGCCACACGAGUCUCACUAUAAAGGCACCUCCUGGAAAGGAGCAGCACAGGACAGACUGGAGCCCAAACUUUGAAAAUUAAAGACGCAGGGCGCCUGGGUGGCUCAGCCGGUUAAGCGUCCGGCUUUGGCUCAGGUCACGAUCUCAAGGUUUGUGGGUUCGAGCCCCGCGUCGGGCUCUGUGCUGACGGCUCGGAGCCUGGAACCUGCUUCCGAUUCUGUCUCCCUCUCUGCCUUUCCCCGCUCACGCUGUCUCUCAAAAAUAAACAGACAUUACAAAACAAUUUAAAGACGUGUAGGACACCUCAGAAGGCAGAGGGAGUGUUAAGACAUUGACCUUGCUCUAUCCUCCCGGGUCUAGGGCUAUGAGCUUGUUCAAAAGCUAUCAGUCUGUUUCUGACUGUUCAAAUGUUAAGCAUACAUUUUGUGCAUUGUGUGUGCAAUAUGUUUUAAAAAAGAAAAAAAUCAAAGAAGCUCCCGCUGAGACAGAGUUCACUCAGGAGCCCUGAAUUCUGCCAGUGUGAGCCUGGUCGAGCUGUGAGUUCUCAGCUGCUGACCUGCCCAAUUAGGUUUCGCAGUGCCAGCCUUAUGGUCCAGCUCCUCAGGUCCUGGCUGUCUGGGUACCACUGGGUGAAUCUCUGGAUUUCUGUGGAUGUGAAUCUACCUGCCACAAAUGCCAACUUUUGGGCCCAGAAUCUCAAUGAAUUGGGAUGCUUGGGGUCUGGGCCCAGGAAUCUGCACAAAUUUCCUAAUAUUUUCCUUGUAUUUAUACCUUCUAUAUCUUAAAUUAUGUCGUAAGGUCCUCCAAGUUCUUUGCAUCUCAAUAUCCAAGGACAUCACGGCACAUUUGACUUUCUA